rnacentral:rRNA from 1 species
AGUGAACGCUGGCGUUAGGCCUAACACAUGCAAGUCGAACGGCAGCACAGGAGAGCUUGCUCUCUGGGUGGCGAGUGGCGGACGGGUGAGGAAUACAUCGGAAUCUGCCCAGUCGUGGGGGAUAACGUAGGGAAACUUACGCUAAUACCGCAUACGACCUUCGGGUGAAAGAGGGGGAUCGCAAGACCUCUCGCGAUUGGAUGAGCCGAUGUCGGAUUAGCUAGUUGGCUGGGUAAUGGCCCACCAAGGCGACGAUCCGUAGCUGGUCUGAGAGGAUGAUCAGCCACACUGGAACUGAGACACGGUCCAGACUCCUACGGGAGGCAGCAGUGGGGAAUAUUGGACAAUGGGCGCAAGCCUGAUCCAGCCAUACCGCGUGGGUGAAGAAGGCCUUCGGGUUGUAAAGCCCUUUUGUUGGGAAAGAAAUCUUUCAGGCUAAUACCCUGGGAGGAUGACGGUACCCAAAGAAUAAGCACCGGCUAACUUCGUG